UAGGGAAUAUUGCGCAAUGGACGAAAGUCUGACGCAGCAACACCGCGUGUAGGAUGAAGCUUCUAGGAGCGUAAACUACUGUCGGCAGGGAAUAUAAUGACUGUACCUGCAAAGGAAGCAUCGGCUAACUACGUGCCAGCAGCCGCGGUAAUACGUAGGAUGCAAGCGUUGUCCGGAAUUAUUGGGCGUAAAGAGUUCGUAGGCGGUUACCUAAGUCUGGUGUUAAAGACGGAAGCUCAACUUCCGCAUGGCAUUGGAUACUGGGUGGCUAGAGUGUGAAAGAGGUAACUGGAAUUCCAGGUGUAGCGGUGAAAUGCGUAGAUAUCUGGAGGAACACCGGUGGCGAAAGCGAGUUACUGGUUCACAACUGACGCUGAGGAACGAAAGCCAGGGUAGCAAAAGGGAUUAGAUACCCCCGUAGUCC
rnacentral:rRNA from 1 species